rnacentral:misc_RNA from 2 species
UUAAGUUCAGCGGGUAGUCCUACCUGAUUUGAGGCCAGAUGUCAAAUAAAAUUAGGGUUAGAAAGCGAUUUCCAAAGUCCGGUUGAAAAGCAAUGGCCAGCACCGAAGCACUGUCCUUAGCGAAAUACUUAUUACGCCAAGUCAAACCAAUUGCAAUGCAAAAGUCCAAGACAAUAGAUCCACUGAUCCUUUUAAGGUGA